ACUUGCCUACGGGGCGCAGCAGGGAAUAUUGCACAAUGGGCGAAAGCCUGAUGCAGCAACGCCGCGUGAAGGAAGAAGGGUUUCGGCUCGUAAACUUCUAUCAACAGGGACGAAAGAAAUGACGGUACCUGAAUAAGAAGCCCCGGCUAACUACGUGCCAGCAGCCGCGGUAAUACGUAGGGGGAAAGCGUUAUCCGGAAUUACUGGGUGUAAAGGGGGAGUAGGCGGCAUGGUAAGCCAGAUGGGAAAGCC
rnacentral:rRNA from 1 species